AGUGAACGCUGGCGGCAGGCCUAAUACAUGCAAGUCGAACGGCAGCACAGCAGAGCUUGCUCUGUGGGUGGCGAGUGGCGGACGGGUGAGGAAUACAUGGGAAUCUGCCCAGUCGUGGGGGAUAACGUAUGGAAACGUACGCUAAUACCGCAUGCGCCCUAAGGGGGAAAGCCGGGGACCGCAAGGCCUGGCGCGAUUGGAUGAGCCCAUGUUCGAUUAGCUAGUUGGCGGGGUAAAGGCCCACCAAGGCGACGAUCGAUAGCUGGUCUGAGAGGAUGAUCAGCCACACUGGAACUGAGACACGGUCCAGACUCCUACGGGAGGCAGCAGUAGGGAAUAUUGGACAAUGGGGGCAACCCUGAUCCAGCCAUGCCGCGUGAGUGAAGAAGGCCCUCGGGUUGUAAAGCUCUUUUGUCCGGAAAGAAAGCAAUCGGUUAAU
rnacentral:rRNA from 1 species